AGAAACUCAUCCGCCGGAUGAUCAAGGGUUCCAGGGUCAAGUUAAUCUGCCCUGGGUUAGUCGGGGCCUAAGGCGAGGCCGACAGGCGUAGUCGAUGGAUAACGGGUUGAUAUUCCCGUACCGGUGAAAAACCGCCCAUACUGAUAUUGUGAUGCUAACCAUGCGAAGCAUGAUGUGCAGGCUUUUGUUUGUGUGUUGUGUGGGUUGUGGGACCCGAUCUUUGGAGGUAAACGUGUUAACAGGUGUGACGCAGGAAGGUAGCCAAGCCACGCGAUGGUUGUCGUGGUCUAAGCGUGUAGGGUUGUCGGUUGUUAAAUGCGCCGGCUGUGUGCCUGAGACGUGAUGGGACCCCGUUUUUGGGGGAUUUGGUGAUCCUAUGCUGCCGAGAAAAGCAUCGGCGUGAGGUUUUAGCCGCCCGUACCCUAAACCGACACAGGUGAUCAGGUAGAGAAUACUAAGGCGAUCGAGAGAAUCAUGGUUAAGGAACUCGGCAAAAUGCCCCCGUAACUUCGGGAGAAGGGGGACCUUGAGCGUGAUGGGCACUUGCUGCCUGGAGCGUGUAUGGGUCGCAGAGACCAGGGGGAAGCGACUGUUUAUCAAAAACACAGGUCCGUGCGAAGUCGUAAGACGAUGUAUACGGACUGACUCCUGCCCGGUGCUGGAAGGUUAAGAGGAUUGGUUAGCUCUUUUGGGCGAAGCUGAGAAUUUAAGCCCCAGUAAACGGCGGUGGUAACUAUAACCAUCCUAAGGUAGCGAAAUUCCUUGUCGGGUAAGUUCCGACCUGCACGAAUGGAGUAACGACUUCCCUACUGUCUCAACCAUGAACUCGGCGAAAUUGCAGUACGAGUAAAGAUGCUCGUUUCGCGCAGCAGGACGGAAAGACCCCGUGACCUUUACUAUAGUUUGGUAUUGGUGUUUGGUUUGGCUUGUGUAGGAUAGGUGGGAGACUGUGAAGCAUGGACGCUAGUUUGUGUGGAGUCGUUGUUGAAAUACCACUCUGGUCAAUCUGGAUGUCUAACUUCGGGCCAUGAUCUGGUUCAGGGACAGUGCCUGAUGGGUAGUUUAACUGGGGCGGUUGCCUCCUAAAGUGUAACGGAGGCGCCCAAAGGUUCCCUCAGCCUGGUUGGCAAUCAGGUGUUGAGUGUAAGUGCACAAGGGAGCUUGACUGUGAGACUGGCAGGUCGAGCAGGGACGAAAGUCGGGACUAGUGAUCCGGCGGUACGUUGUGGAACGGCCGUCGCUCAACGGAUAAAAGGUACCUCGGGGAUAACAGGCUGAUCUUGCCCAAGAGUCCAUAUCGACGGCAUGGUUUGGCACCUCGAUGUCGGCUCGUCGCAUCCUGGGGCUGGAGUCGGUCCCAAGGGUUGGGCUGUUCGCCCAUUAAAGCGGUACGCGAGCUGGGUUCAGAACGUCGUGAGACAGUUCGGUCCCUAUCCGCUGCGCGCGUUGGAAAUUUGAGAAAGGCUGUCCUUAGUACGAGAGGACCGGGACGGACGAACCUCUGGUAUGUCAGUUGUACCGCCAGGUGCAUGGCUGAUUGGCUACGUUCGGGAGGGAUAACCGCUGAAAGCAUCUAAGC
rnacentral:rRNA from 1 species